rnacentral:lncRNA from 1 species
UGUACUCUGCCUGCCUCGACUGAGAAAGCGUGUGGUGCAUGCCCAAUAUGGAGCAAAUGUGAUGCUCAGAACAGCAAAUGUGUCUGCAGAGAAGCGUCGGAGUGCCAGAAAGCAGGGUACAGAAUCUGCGUGGAAGUGAAUGGCAAAGAGGAGACAAUGUCCGAGUGCGAGGCUGGCAUCUUAAGGUGCAGAGGGCAGAGCAUCUCCAUCACAGCCAUAAAGCCCUGUGCCCAAGAAGUCCAGUAGGACCUGGAGGCGGUGGGGCUUCAUCCUCUUCAUCAGAAGCUAAUGGGCAAUGGAUACUGGGUUAAAACAUCUAUAACUGGUCCUUAGACCACUUUCCUAGCAGGAAGGCAUGAUCCUUUCUGCUUUCUCAUCAAUAUUUACUUCUCCCUUCUGUGUUCAGCCACCUGUGCAAACAACCCUUUUGUUUUCUCAAAUCCCAGUCCAGAUUUCCUUCCUUUACAAGGGGCAGUACGAAGAACCCUUAUGAACCAUGGCAUGCUGAGCUAUUUGUGAGGUUUUUGGAAAAAUGCAUUGGGCUUUACCUUUUUUUUUUUUUUGUCUGUAAACUUACAGGAUGAGACUAGAGACACAUGUUAUCCAUUCAUUCAUCCCUAUGAUUCUGUUGAAUAUGAUUGACCCAGUCCAUGGGUCUGUGUUGAUUAGGAAAACAGAAAGAACAUAAUUUCCUGAUUAGAGAGCUUGACUUUCCUCAGUGAAAUCAAACGCAAACACAUGCACACACAUUGGGAGAAACAGACAGAUGUAAUUAUUUUCAUCUCGAGGGGUAAUGUCACGCUUCGCCCUACUCAGCCAUCCCCACGUGUAGGAUCUUUCUUCUUGUCAGAAGAUCAAACUACUUAAAUGUCAGAGCAGAAUUCAUCAUGCUAUGGUCACAGGGCACCGUCUGCCUUCUUGUCUGAGAACAAAUAUAAUUCAGUCUCUUGAGGGCUUUCUUCAGUGUGUGUCAAAUAUAAACCUGAAAAUCACUCUGCUUUUGAGAGAAGUGUCAGUUUAUGCUAGAGCUAUUGAGAGAUGCAUAUUUGAGAAGAAUCUUCCCUAAUGUGGUCACACCCUUAGAUUUUUUUUUCCAGAAGCACACAAUUUGAGACAUUGGAAUUUGCUUUAUUUCUUAUUCAUCUUUCAUUAAACAUAACAAUAGCAAGAAAUCCAGCUGUGGAAGGUGAAGUGUGUGGGCUGAAAUAGAGCUUAAAGUAUGAACAAACACUCUUUCUUUUGUUUUUUUCCUCCCGAGGCUGUUAGAUAUAUUUCAAACAAACUUUAAGUUGCUAAGGAGUAGAAAGUGCAUUCCAGAUCCUAUUUUCUUUUAGAUGUUUUUGAAGUGUAGAGUGCCAGAUAUCACUGCUCUAGAUUUAGCUUUCCAUAACAAUUUCCUUUGUGGUUUGAUGCAGAUGUAAUAUAUGGAUGUUGCACAGUUGUGGGUUUCAUUUACUGAAUACAUUCACGCUUAAGCAUAUUAACUGUACAUAUUAACUGAUUUAGAGGAUACUAUGGAUUCCACAUCUUCCCUGAGCAUAGGGAUUG